rnacentral:rRNA from 1 species
CUAGCCUGCCCAGUGAUGUUUGAGUUUAACGGCCGCGGUAGUAUGACCGUGCUAAGGUAGAAUAAUAAUUUGUCCUUUAAUUGGGGACUGGUAUGAACGGCUGAACAAGAAAUUAACUGUCUCUAUUGCAAACUUUGAACUUUACAUUUAAGUGAAAAGGCUUAAAUAGUACAGGGGGACGAUAAGACCCUAUAAAUCUUUAUGCUUUAAUUAAUAAAUCUUAGAAAUUAGUUACAAAUCUAGCGUCAUUGAGUUAAAGUAUUUUGUUGGGGCGACAGAAGCAUAAUAAGUAACUGCUUUCGUUUAAAAAAAUUAAUUAUUUUUAUUGUGAUAGUUAUAUUGAUCCUCUUAUGGAGAAACCAGAUCAAGUUACUUUAGGGAUAACAGCGUAAUCUUUUUUGAGAGUCCAUAUCGAAAAAAUGGUUUGCGACCUCGAUGUUGAAUUAAAGAUCCUUAAUGGCGUAGGGGC